rnacentral:rRNA from 1 species
UACGUAGGGGGCAAGCGUUGUCCGGAUUUAUUGGGCGUAAAGAGCGUGUAGGCGGCCUUACAGGUCAGCUGUGAAAACUCGAGGCUCAACCUCGAGACGUCGGUUGAAACCGUAUGGCUAGAGUCCGGAAGAGGAGAGUGGAAUUCCCGGUGUAGCGGUGAAAUGCGCAGAUAUCAGGAAGAACACCCGUGGCGAAGGCGGCUCUCUGGACGGUACUGACGCUGAGACGCGAAAGCGUGGGGAGCGAACAGG